UGGUCAAGUUAUUAAGGGUGCAGGGCGGAUGCCUUGGCACUAGGAGCCGAUGAAGGACGUGAUAAGCUGCGAUAAGCUUCGGGGAGUUGCACGUAAACUUUGAUCCGAAGAUUUCCGAAUGAGGAAACUCACUUAGAGUAAUGUCUAAGUAUCAUUAAGUGAAUACAUAGCUUAAUGAGGGGAACUCAGGGAACUGAAACAUCUAAGUACCUGAAGGAAGAGAAAGAAAUUCGAUUCCGUAAGUAGCGGCGAGCGAACGCGGAUUAGCCCAAACCAAUAAAGUUUUCUUUAUUGGGGUUGCGGACAUAUCAUAACGAAGAGGUAUCGUAAUUGAAGAGGUUUGGAAAGACCCACCACAGAAGGU
rnacentral:rRNA from 1 species